rnacentral:rRNA from 1 species
GAUGAACGCUGGCGGCGUGCCUAAUACAUGCAAGUCGAGCGAACAGACGAGGAGCUUGCUCCUCUGACGUUAGCGGCGGACGGGUGAGUAACACGUGGAUAACCUACCUAUAAGACUGGGAUAACUUCGGGAAACCGGAGCUAAUACCGGAUAAUAUAUUGAACCGCAUGGUUCAAUAGUGAAAGACGGUUUUGCUGUCACUUAUAGAUGGAUCCGCGCCGCAUUAGCUAGUUGGUAAGGUAACGGCUUACCAAGGCAACGAUGCGUAGCCGACCUGAGAGGGUGAUCGGCCACACUGGGACUGAGACACGGUCCAGACUCCUACGGGAGGCAGCAGUAGGGAAUCUUCCGCAAUGGGCGAAAGCCUGACGGAGCAACGCCGCGUGAGUGAUGAAGGCCUUCGGAUCGUAAAACUCUGUUAUUAGGGAAGAACAAAUGUGUAAGUAACUAUGCACGUCUUGACGGUACCUAAUCAGAAAGCCACGGCCAACUACGUG